rnacentral:lncRNA from 1 species
GCUUCAGGAAAGCUGGAGGAGGCGAGGCAGGAUUGACACUUUCUCCCACCAAGGGCUUUUCCUAAGAAGCCUGCUGGGAACACUCCUGUGUGUUUCUCUUUAGGGGAAAGGACACUUGGAGCACCUGUACCGAAAGGGAGAAGGUGAAGAAGCCUGUGAGCAUUCCCUGCCUCCUCUGAUCUUAUGCAGAUUCUAAACACAGGUCUGAACGCAAGCUCGAUGGCAACUCUCUGCUCCGGCUGCCAGGGCUCCAGCUCCAGCCGCUCCUCUCCGUCCUCCACCUUCUUUUUCCAAAGUAACAAAGCCAUUGGAUUUCCUCCCACCCCUUCCCUGCGCCUCCCCUCCCCCUCGCUGGCACCGGGGUUAUUUAUACAGAAUGUGGAAACAAUUUGCAGGAAAGUGAACAAUGUAAGCGGGAGCGAGGGAAGGGAGGCGAGUUUGCAGUGCGCGCUGAGAGCCCCAGCGGUGGAACGCUGCUUUUUGGGGAGCACGGGGAGCAGAAUGUUUUCCUUUCUUCCUUCUCCCCUCUCCCACCAUCUCCCUGAGCUCCUUCCAUCCUGCUGGAGUCGAGGCCAAACCAGAGCAACGAGAUCUGAGUGA